rnacentral:tRNA from 1 species
GCCGGCUUAGCUCAGGGGUAGAGCAGCGGUUUUGUAAACCGCGGGUCGUCGGUUCAAAUCCGACAGUCGGCU